CCGGAACGACCGCUUCGGCGUGGUCCGUCUCGUGGCGACGUGGAGGCGAUACACGGACCGCUUGGAUUCUCCAGGGUGACGAGGAUCAUCCCCCUGUAAUGGAGCAAAUAACGGAAUCUAAGGGAAGCUAGCUCCGAGCAUUAUCAUCUUUUCUCCAAACGCACGGUCACGUCACGGAACGCUGUCGGGAAGAAUCCGGAAACUAGGACGACUUCAAAAAUCCGAGGGCAGAGGAAGAGGAGAGAGGCCCGUCCCGGCCAGAGACGGAACGGGAAAGCGCACCGGCCCCCCCAGAG